rnacentral:rRNA from 1 species
AUGCUUUGUAGUUGAAAGGUCCGCCGCUUCGGGAUGGGUCUGCGGCCGAUUAGGUUGUUGUUGGGGUAACGGCCCAACAAGCCUGUAAUCGGUACGGGUUGUGGGAGCAAGAGCCCGGAGAUGGAUUCUGAGACACGAAUCCAGGCCCUACGGGGCGCAGCAGGCGCGAAAACUUUACAAUGCGAGCAAUCGUGAUAAGGGAACUCCGAGUGCCCGUAAAAUCGGGCUGUCCGCCAGUGUAAAAAACUGGUGAAGAAAGGGCCGGGCAAGACCGGUGCCAGCCGCCGCGGUAAUACCGGCGGCUCGAGUGGUGGCCACUAUUACUGGGCUUAAAGCGUUCGUAGCUGGUCUGUUAAGUCUCUGGGGAAAUCUUCCGGCUUAACCGGAAGGCGUCUCAGGGAUACUGGCAGACUAGGGACCGGAAGAGGUGAGAGGUACUCCAGGGGUAGGAGUGAAAUCCUGUAAUCCUUGGGGGACCACCUGUGGCGAAGGCGUCUCACCAGGACGGCUCCGACAGUGAGGAACGAAAGCUGGGGGAGCAAACCGGAUUAGAUACCCGGGUAGUCCCAGCUGUAAACGAUGCGCGUUAGGUGUAUCGGUGACCACGAGUCACCGAGGUGCCGAAGAGAAAUCGUGA